CCACCCAGCCGCUCCUGCGUUCCCUUAACCCUGCAGCGCGCAGCGGAGCUGGGACCCUGCACAGGACACCUCCCGCCCACGCUCCGGAGAGCUGCGCUGGACCCGCCCCACAGCCUGCCCAGGUCACUGCUUCCCAGGAGUCCGCGCUGUCCCCGCGCCGGUCUUCCCUAGGCGCCGCCUGGGGAUGAGCUGCAAAUCACUGCAGGACUUGCAUAACUUUCCCUGAGCGCCCCAGUGGAACCUGCGGGGGCCGCCGCGCCCCAGCCCACCUGUGCGGGACUCCAGCCCUCUUCCCUCUCCCGCCAGCUCCUGCUGGAUCCCGCCUGAUCCCCACCCGCUCCAUCCCCAUCAACCAACAGGGUGCCAACAGCCCGCUCCUGCGCCUCUUUUCCUGCUCUGUCUCCGGAAUCCGCCCUUCUCCUGGCUGAUUCUUCACAGCGGCCCAGGCCCCGCCCCCGACCCUGGGAGCAGGUGGAGAGAACCCACCAGGAAGGAGGAGAAUAUGCUGCACUGGAGGAUCUCCAGGGCCAUCCUUGGGGACAGGCAGCAACUCAAGAAUGUGAAUCUCAGGGGAGACAUAAUUGAAUGAAGAUCUGAUUGUGUUGCCAACUGCUGUGUGCUCAGUCUCCGAGAAGAAAAAGAGUAGCCAUUGUAUCUUUGCCAUGACGUGAAUGAAAGUAACAGCCAUCGGGUACAUGCAGUAUUUAUACAGUAAUAAGCUUCAGGGUUGGUCCAUGUGUUGAGAUGCCAUGAGAGUCAUGUGUGAUGGGUCACAUGACAUGGAUAGUCAUCAAAGAGGUCAGAACUCUUUGGCUCAGAAAAGAAAUGAAAUAAUUGCUGAAGCCAGGCAAAGCCAAAUAAAAUACUCACAGUUAUUAUUAAAAGUUCAAGUGCCAACCAUUGGGUUGGGGAUGAAAUGAGAUUUAAUUUUUAAUAGUAAUCUGUAAGACAAUAGCAAGAAGAGUUUGUUCUUACCUCUAGUUUUAUUAGCUGUGUGACAUUGAGAAAGUUGUCUAAACCAUGCCUGACCUAGUAUGGCUUUCAGAUGGAGGAUGUUAUUAUGAUCACUUCUUCCUAAGGCAGAAUGUGAGCAUUAAGUGAAAUGGUUAUGCAGAGUGUUUAAUGCUAGCCCAGAAUAACUGCUUUUUAAAUGUUGGGGAGUACUACUCUUUCUGACCACCAUGCAUAUAUAUCCACUCCCCUCUGUAUAGUUCCUGAUGAAUUGAGUAUAAACUCUACAUGGGUUUUAUUACUUCACUUAAAUGUCAGAGUGAGCCUGGCAAGUGCAAGAAGAUGUGUUAGUACAGAUUUUCCCCAGAAGUAACAACCAAGAGAGAAUGCCUUAGAACUAUAAAAGAUUUAGGGGGAGAAAUACCAAUGGAGGAUAAAAGGGAUUGCAGGGGUACCAGAGAGAAUGCAGCGAGUCUUCAGGAAGGAGUGCAGGACUGAUACCUAGAAAAGGGCAGGAGGCAGGGCAGGGGACUAUAUGGCAGUGUGGUCAAGCCACAGUCCCUGCUCAGUGACUCCUAGCAAGUGGGAAGGCCUGCCUUAACACAGGGCCUUUCUUGGCAUAGUCUGGGAGCAGGUUCAGGAAGUAUGGUUUCUGUAAACAUGGAGUGGAACAGAGAAGACAGUGGCCAAGCAGCCAAUCAGAGCCCAGCGCUUCCAGGCCACACAGAUCUGCCAGGCAUACCUGCCCAAGAAGCAACCCCUCUGUGGCUUUCAUGAGUCUGUUCUUCUGAGACUAGUGAACCAAGGGCAUCCCAUAUUCUUAUAAAUCUCAGGGCUUCCUCUUCCACUCUGCAUUCCAACUAUCCCUCACCUUAAGUGCCAUCUCAGUAACAUGCCUUGUGGCAAGAGGUGAGCCUGCAUUCCUGAAGGGUCUGAGCAUGGUCAGGUCCGAGUUACAGUGGCACUAUUCUGUUAAAAUGCAACAAGGCACUAAAAGAGAUGUCUUACCUGGACCCCAUACAUACUUCUCCCUCCUCUCAUUGGUAGAAGCAGCCUUGCCUGUUCUUGUCGCUCAAGGUCAAGUACCUUCUUUGAAGUUCUGCUGGCCUAUGGACACAAGGAACUCACAGUGCCCUGAUGAUAGCUGCCCCUUGCAGUUCCAUGGGACACCCACUAUACACCCUGAUAGGGUUAUGUGAAGAAGCUGGGGACGGAGGCUGAUACAAAGCCACUGGGUCUCAUGAGGGUCAAGGGCUUCUGCUCCUGCCACUCAUUCAGUGCCUCUGUCCUGCUAAGAUGAGGCCCAGAUAAGUCUUUUUCUUGUUUUAGAGAAAGGAGUAUUGCUGGGUCCUUCUGCCAUGAAGAUUCUGCAAUUCUAACAGAAUAUGCUCAUCAUGGGAAUGUCCAUAAACAUGGCCCCUUGUUUCUGGGGGUAUAUUGCUCCAUAUCUAUCAGGGCCUAACAAGAGCUGCUUCUUUAAAAAGUGUAAUACAUUGCUUGGACCUCAGAAGCCCAGUGCUUGUCUUGCGAUUCUCCUAAGGGGAUUUUCAUAAGUUUCAUGUGGCAUCUUCGUUCCCACUGACAUCCCUUACACUACAGUCCACAGAGGUGUUUAGCUCAACCACCGGAGUGGAUUGCAUCAAGUGCUACAUGACUGUGGAGCCCUUUUCUGUCAUUUCCCUGCUCAUAGCCAGCAGCUAGACAUGUCACAUGGUCCUGGGUGCUAGAGUAAUAUCCCUGAGUGCACAGUGUGUUUUCUCUGAAGCACAAAGAAGCCCAGUAGAUGUUGUGUUCCCUCCUUGGAACAGACACAGCAAUAUGUUGUUCAACCCAGAAAGGAUGCUUUGUAGGCCUGUGAGCAAUGAAUACCAAUAAAUUCUGCAAAGUGCAUCCCUGAGUCUUCACACCCUCUGGAGCCAAGGGGUCUGCCAAGGCCCCCAGUAUCGUAGUCAUUGUCUACAAUUUUAUCAUGUUGAUGCAAUGGGCACAGGAGAUGUUCAGUGGAAUGCAUAGAACACCUGGACAUCCAGAUUGUGAGUGUAUCCAUCUCUGCUAAGAUCAGGACAGAGACACCUAAGACAAUGUUAUAAUUAUUGUCACCUAAGACAAUGCUAUAAUUUGCCCAUCCCACAUGAAUCCAAAAAGAAUCUGAACAGUGUCAUAGAGUGCAGUUGAAGAAGUGGUGCUAAACCUUUGGAGUCCACACACAAUUGAAGAAUCCCUCCAUCCUUCUGUAUUCGUAUCUUUGAUUUUUCUAUGUUGCCAAAUUGCUUCCCAGAGUGGUGAUGUCAUUUUUCAAGUUGCAUUUGAAGUUAGAAGACUUCUAAACUUUCUGAAAUAAGAGUAUAUUCCAGUAACAAGUCCUUGUAUAUCUUAGUUGGAGUGACACAGUUCUGGCUUGAUUUGAUAGCUCUGCAGUUGGUGUUUUGUUUUUCAGAGAAACACUCCUCUUUAUGGCUCACCAUUUAAUUUCCCUGCUGUCAAGAGGCAGAAUCAAGUUAUUCCUCUUUUUUAAAGAAUGAUCUAAGAAGGAAUAAUGAAUGCAAAAUGCUGUAGUUAAACAUCAGCAGAUCAACCGAUGGAUCGGCUGUCACUUAGAUUAUGCUAUAAAUGGAAAGAAAGUGAUAUUUAAUCAUUUGCAAAAAAUAGAAGCAGUGGUGAUGGAUUUGGUGUACUUUGACUGUGAGUGACUCAUUAUGGCAAAUUGUUAUUUUCCAGUUAAUAGAGGAAAUAAAAAGGGCAAAGCAGAGAAAAGUCAUUGCUUUCAAGAGCAUGCCACGUCCCCUGAGCUGUUUAUAUAUAUGAAGUAUUACAGGUUAAAUGUUAAGGGCUGGAACAGGUCUUCCCAAAUUCAUAAGUCGAAGUCCUAACCACAAGUGCCUGAGGUGAGAAUAUAUAUGGAGAAUAGGUAUCCAAAUAGCUAAGAAAGGUAAAAUAGGGUCCUUACAGUGGACUUGAUCCAACAUGGCAGAUGUCCUUAUAAGAAGAGAGUUGGUCACACACACCCAAGUUUGGCCACGUGAGGACACGGGAGAAGGAAGCCAUCUGCAAGCCCAGGAGAGAGGUCUCAGAAGCAAUCAGACUCACUGAUCUUGCACUUUUGGCCUCCAGAGUUGUGAGACAAUAAAUAUCUUCUUUCUGACCCCCUCUU